AAGGGCCCCUGCUGCGUGAGCCCCCUGCUGCUCCCCGCGACCAUCCCCUGGCACCCGAACGUCAUGCCGUCCGUGGCGCCCGGGCAACAUCGUCCUGCGAAGUCAGGGCCACAGCCAGGUCUGCUCGCCAAGAAACCAGUCCGCCGCCACCUCUUUUCCGGCCAAAAAUCCGGCUAUUCCCGCCGUCGUCCGCUGCAUGUAAGAUCCUUUGCUGGAAAUGGGUAUAAUCAUUGGCUUACUGAAUAUGAGAAGGAUGUGGAGAGAAACUACAUGCUUGCCGUGCAUAUUUUCACCAUCUUGCCAGUCCUAUGGUUCACUCUAAUUUCAGCCAUGUCAAGAGGAGGCAAAGGCAAGGUCCAUCCUCUCAUCAUUUCCCUGCAAUGAGGGCGAGCCAAGAACGGCGGGGCAGUGAGGCCUCCGCCUCGCGAAGCUGAUGAGCCAAUCUCCAUUCAAUCUCAGAACCAAGGGAGGAGGAAAGGCAAAGGAAGCGUUUUGUUCAGAUACUGAGGAAGAUGCAGCUAAGGAAGAGAGGCUGCGCGGUCUGCUCGCGCAAGGUUUUACCCUACACCAGUCAUGAACCAAAGGAUUAAAAAAAAGGACUAAAGCAGCAUUAAAUGUUGUCCACAAAGACCAAACUACCCCUGAGGGGAGAGGGGCAGGCUAAGUUGCUGGUUUGACGCGCUCCUUGUGGCGUGCGCGUGCCUGCUGGC